rnacentral:snRNA from 1 species
AGAAGUCAGUAUAUACCAUAUCUGUGAUAUCUGUCACCCCAUUGAUCGCCAGGGUUGGUUCAGCUGAUCUGGCUGGCUAGGCUGAUGUCCCCUUCCUCUCUCACCACUCCAUGUGCGUCUGUCUUCAAACUGCGUGUUCUCCUUCAAAGAGGAUGACCUUCCAGGAAUAGAGGAGUGCAGGCCUUUGGUCAAGGGUAUAUGAGUAGCUGUGCUGCCCUGCUAGAACCUCCAAACAAGCUCAAGGGUCGUUUUGUUUUUCAAGAUAGCGUUUUUACAUGUGUCUGUGGCUUUCCUGGAACUCUCCUUGUAGAU